GUGGUUGUGGCUCAGUGGUAGAGCACUUGCCUAGCAUGCAUGAGUCACGGGGUUCAAUCCCCAGCACCACA
rnacentral:tRNA from 1 species